rnacentral:rRNA from 1 species
CAGUCGCCGCGGGAAUACGUAGGGUGCAAGCGUUAUCCGGAAUUAUUGGGCGUAAAGAGCUCGUAGGCGGUUCGUCGCGUCUGCUGUGAAAACUGGAGGCUCAACCUCCAGCCUGCAGUGGGUACGGGCAGACUAGAGUGCGGUAGGGGAGAUUGGAAUUCCUGGUGUAGCGGUGGAAUGCGCAGAUAUCAGGAGGAACACCGAUGGCGAAGGCAGAUCUCUGGGCCGUAACUGACGCUGAGGAGCGAAAGCAUGGGGAGCGAACAGGAUUAGAUACCCGCGUAGUCCCUGUCUCUUAUAA